rnacentral:lncRNA from 1 species
CCUCACUGCGUGUUCUAGGGAAGGGGCAAAGCCCGGACCUAUGUAGUCUUUAUCUUGGAGACAUUAAAAUCACAGAGUUAAUGACUCUCAGGGCAGAGCCCUAGGGAUCUUACAGGAAGCGGCACCAGCCCUGCUUCCUGCACCACUGGGGUGAGGGGACUCCUUCAGUCAGGGAUUUCCUAUGACUGUCUAUGAAGGAGGAUGCUGUGUGGGAAGAAAUCACCAGAGAGUGAGCGUAGGUGGUGCUGUCUACGUGCUGAGUUCUACAGCCUGAAUGGUCUUUCCACCAUGGAGUCAGCUGUGCUAAAGCCUGGGGCCUGUUACAGUAACUAUAGUCUAUCUUGCCUGAGUCUAUAUUCAGCACCACCGUGUGUUAGCCUCAUAGUAACUGAUCAAACCUGCCACGGUUGUCCUGUUUUGUGCUGACCAGCGUCUGAGAGAAGGUGAGGGACUCACCCUUCGCGUGAUUAAUCAAGCCUCUGGACUUCAGACACAUCUUAUAUUCUGUCUCCACUCCUGGCCUACUUCUGUUGACUUCAGACUAGGUUUGAUCAGCAUGUUUGGC